AGAAUCAACGCUGGCGGCGUGCCUAACACAUGCAAGUCGCACGAGAAAGGGACUUCGGUCCUGAGUACAGUGGCGCACGGGUGAGUAACACGUGAAUCAUCUACCUCCGAGUGGGGAAUAACCUAGAGAAAUCUGGGCUAAUACCGCAUAACACUUACGAGUCAAAGCAGCAAUGCGCUUGGAGAGGAGUUCGCGGCAGAUUAGCUAGUUGGCGGGGUAAUGGCCCACCAAGGCGAAGAUCGGUA
rnacentral:rRNA from 1 species